rnacentral:rRNA from 1 species
AGCAGUCGCCGCGGUAAUACGAAGGGUGCAAGCGUUAAUCGGAAUUACUGGGCGUGAAGCGUGCGUAGGCGGUGAGUUAAGUCUGCUGUGAAAUCCCCGGGCUCAACCUGGGAAUGGCAGUGGAUACUGGCUCGCUAGAGUGUGUCAGAGGAUGGUGGAAUUCCCGGUGUAGCGGUGUAAUGCGUAGAGAUCGGGAGGAACAUCAGUGGCGAAGGCGGCCAUCUGGGACAACACUGACGCUGAGGCACGAAAGCGUGGGGGGCAAACAGGAUUAGAUACCCGUGUAGUCCCUGUCUCUUAUAC